rnacentral:tRNA from 1 species
UAGAAUGUGGUGUAAUGUGGAAGCACGGAGAAUUUUGAAUUCUCAGGUACGGGUUCGAUUCCUGUAUUUCUAG